rnacentral:rRNA from 1 species
UACGGAGGGUGCAAGCGUUAUCCGGAUUCACUGGGUUUAAAGGGUGCGUAGGCGGAUAGGUAAGUCCGUGGUGAAAUCCUGCAGCUUAACUGCAGAACUGCCAUGGAUACUAUCUAUCUUGAAUGUCGUGGAGGUUAGCGGAAUAUGUCAUGUAGCGGUGAAAUGCUUAGAUAUGACAUAGAACACCAAUUGCGAAGGCAGCUGGCUACACGAAUAUUGACACUGAGGCACGAAAGCGUGGGGAGCGAACAGG